rnacentral:rRNA from 1 species
GACAGAGGUGGCAAGCGUUGUUCGGAAUUAUUGGGCGUAAAGCGCGUGUAGGCGGUUUGAUUAGUCUGAUGUGAAAGCCCUGGGCUCAACCCAGGAAGUGCAUUGGAAACUGUCAGACUUGAAUACGGGAGAGGGUAGUGGAAUUCCUAGUGUAGGAGUGAAAUCCGUAGAUAUUAGGAGGAACACCGGUGGCGAAGGCGGCUGCCUGGACCGAUAUUGACGCUGAGACGCGAAAGCGUGGGUAGCAAACAGG